AAGACCGAGCACCGAGACGAGCCUUUAUGGCGAAGUCACUGAUACCACGCUUCCAGGAAAAGCUCCUAAGCUUCAGCUUACGCAGACCGUACCGUAAACCGACACAGGUGGGUAGGAUGAGAAUUCUCAGGCGCUUGAGAGAACUCGGGUGAAGGAACUAGGCAACAUGGCACCGUAACUUCGGGAGAAGGUGCACCCUUUUUGGUGGCUCGUGCGAGCUAUAGCUGAAGAGGGUCGCAGUAACCAGGCCGCUGCGACUGUUUAUCAAAAACACAGCACUCUGCAAACACGAAAGUGGACGUAUAGGGUGUGACGCCUGCCCGGUGCUGGAAGGUUAAUUGAUGGGGUCAGCCGCAAGGCGAAGCUCUUGAUCGAAGCCCCAGUAAACGGCGGCCGUAACUAUAACGGUCCUAAGGUAGCGAAAUUCCUUGUCGGGUAAGUUCCGACCUGCACGAAUGGCGUAACGACAGCGGCGCUGUCUCCACCCGAGACUCAGUGAAAUUGAAAUCGCUGUGAAGAUGCAGCGUUCCCGUGGCAAGACGGAAAGACCCCGUGAACCUUUACUAUAGCUUUACACUGAACGUUGAGUUCGUCUGUGUAGGAUAGGUGGGAGGCUAUGAAACUGUGGCGCCAGCUGCAGUGGAGCCAUCCUUGAAAUACCACCCUGUCGUGCUUGACGUUCUAACCUGGGCCCAUUAUCUGGGUCGGGGACCGUGUAUGGUGGGUAGUUUGACUGGGGCGGUCUCCUCCUAAAGAGUAACGGAGGAGCUCGAAGGUACGCUCAGCGCGGUCGGACAUCGCGCACUGUGUGCAAAGGCAUAAGCGUGCUUGACUGCAAGAUCGACGGAUCAAGCAGGUAGGAAACUAGGACUUAGUGAUCCGGUGGUUCUGUAUGGAAGGGCCAUCGCUCAACGGAUAAAAGGUACUCCGGGGAUAACAGGCUGAUACCGCCCAAGAGUUCAUAUCGACGGCGGUGUUUGGCACCUCGAUGUCGGCUCAUCACAUCCUGGGGCUGUAGUCGGUCCCAAGGGUAUGGCUGUUCGCCAUUUAAAGUGGUACGCGAGCUGGGUUCAGAACGUCGUGAGACAGUUCGGUCCCUAUCUGCCAUGGGCGUUGGAGAUUUGAGAGGGGCUGCUCCUAGUACGAGAGGACCGGAGUGGACGAACCUCUGGUGUUCCGGUUGUCACGCCAGUGGCAUUGCCGGGUAGCUAUGUUCGGAAGCGAUAACCGCUGAAAGCAUCUAAGCGGGAAGCGCGCCUCAAGAUGAGAUCUCCCGGGGCACAAGCCCCCUGAAGGAACCAUGUAGACUACGUGGUUGAUAGGUCAGGUGUGUAAGUACAGCAAUGUAUUGAGCUAACUGAUACUAAUGAUCCGUGCGGCUUGACC
rnacentral:rRNA from 1 species